rnacentral:lncRNA from 1 species
UAAAAUAUUUGCAGGAAGAAAUAGCUAACUAUUUUUAAAGCACCUAUUCUUUCAACAGGAAGCAUUAUCUUUCCCUUCCCUACCGCUGUUAUAUACCAUGCAUGAGCCCGGGUGACCAGUGAAUAAGCUCAGGAGCUGUCCAUUUGAGGAAAACUAUGAUAAGCAGUGGGUAUAGAAGACCCCUGAAGAGCUGUAAUGAGGGAAGUAGAACACAGACAACCAUGGUCUAUCCAGACAAAAGGAGUAUCCGAUGCCAGGAAGAAAAUUUGGCAAAGCUGCAGAUAGUUUAUGGUCUAAUUGUGGUUGGUCGAUAAUUUUGCAACUGUCAUCAACAUGUCCUCCCAAAGGUAAGAAUCCUUUUGCUGUGAGAGUAUUUUGCCCCGAAGGCAGCAUGGGAGAUGGGAGUAGUGGGUACAUGCCGUGGGGGUGGGGGGUGGGCAGGAAUAGGACCAGGGAUAGGCAAAUACCUUGUUUGGCGAAUAUACUCAGUAACUAUACCUGAUUUAAACAUCUGACUUAAAGAUAUCCAUUUUAUUCUGAGAAUAUGGAAGGCUUAGGAAGGGCUUACAGAAUUGUUCUAACACAGAGGCGCCAUCUUACACAACUGUUCACUCUUUUUUAGUAUUUUGAGGUCCCGGUCUGGCUUCCAAAGAAGAUGUUUUCAUACUUCUAAAACCUGUCUUUGAAGUCAGAGGACAAUGUCAGAACCUUUGUUUUGUGGUACUUGAAAAGAAGCUGUACUUCCUUUAGCUUUCCUCAUUUCAGUAAAGGCAAGGUGGUCAUACAUUCCAGUGUGCUAGGGUUGUAGAUUGAAAAAAUGG